rnacentral:lncRNA from 1 species
CAUGCUAUCUUCCUGUGCCAAGAAAGCCUAACUCAUUGAGAAUAGGCAGUUUGCCAAGAUUCCUAUCAGCAAUAAUAGAAGUGAGCAGAGGGGCCUGCUCAGAGAAUGGAGUUCUUUGCAGUUUCUAGAUCAAGAGGAAUCCAAAUCCUAGAGCUGCAACCCCAAUAGAUAGAUUGUAGAUGAUGCCAACAUUUAACUGUUCCUUUAAAAUCAUCUGUGCCAGGUUCAGACUGAUAGAUUGAGUCUGCCAUCUGAUAUUCAUUUACUUAGGAGAAAGUCCCUUUGAACUCAUUAGGCUUCAGUCUGAAUAGGUAGGUUUAAGACGCCACUGCAACAUCUUUGAAAUAUUUACAAGGAAUGAAGCUUCAUUGGGGUUGGUAAGAACAAUGCUUAUCUGAUAUUCUAUGUAUUAACAUCCUCCUUGAUCUCUUCCACAUUGUCCUACUUUCUCACAUAUGGUCUUUUAGCUCCAAUUCUCAUUUUUCUUUCCACACUCAGUCAUGAGUUGAGGCACAACAUGGACUGGAACAGCUGGUGGAGCAGCUGCUGCAAAGACUUUGGGCUACUUCUGUAUCAGAGCAGUGCACAAUGCUUGGAAAAUCUGCCUAGGCAGGAAUGGGGUAUAUAGGAAAUGUGUUGUUGUCCAACAGUAUCAUUGUGUGUGUUUGCUCAGUCAGCAUAGCAACUGCAGGCAGGAGAUGUGAUUUUUAUCUUGAGAUAUCAAAUUACAUUCAGGGUGGAUUCUACUGACAUACCAUUACAUGGUAAAGAGAAUCCCCAAAUAGGUUUGUUAAAAUAAUGCAGACAAAACAAUAAUACAUCAGAUUAUACACUUCACCUUUUCAACACCAUAGUGAAUCAUGCAACCCAGACUUCAUCAACAUACUUGACAAUCAUAUUACCUCAUUUUUAAAACUGGUGAAUAGAAACAAACUUUACAACUGAUGCCUAAUAGGAUUGCAAAGUUUUAAUCAUGAAAGAACAGCAUGAUUGUCUUUCUUGUGUUAUCCUUCCUAAGCCUAAAGUUUCAAAUAGCUCCAUCCCUGUCUCAACAUGUUCAACAAUGUUGCAUCUAGAGCUGGCCCUCCUGUUAGGCGGAAUGAGGUGGUCAACUCAAGUGACAGAGGACCAUUGGGAGCAGUCCCAGAAGGAUUCUAUCUGCUCUGAGACAGUCUUGAGGAGGAUGAACAUGGAGCACAAUCAUGCUUUUUUGUAGAUUCAUUAGCAUUGCCUGCUAA